rnacentral:lncRNA from 1 species
AGCGUGGACAGGAGGCCUCCAAGGACAGUGCUGAAGCCAUUUCAGGCAGCAGCCUCUGUUGGAAGAACAGCUUUGCCAUAGCAAUCACACCAGGAGGGUUCCUCACCUUAUCAGCUGAACGAGUUCCCUGAAAAUCAGACCAAAGAUCAUGCAAGAGGAGUUUUUUAUUGUUGCUGUAGUAAGUUUUUAAAGUAUUUUAUAUAGUCUAUGGGCCCACACAAAGAAAUAUU